rnacentral:rRNA from 1 species
UACGAAGGGGGCUAGCGUUGCUCGGAAUUACUGGGCGUAAAGGGCGCGUAGGCGGAUGUUUAAGUCGGGGGUGAAAGCCCAGGGCUCAACCCUGGAAUUGCCUUCGAUACUGGACAUCUUGAGUGCGGGAGAGGUGAGUGGAACUCCGAGUGUAGAGGUGAAAUUCGUAGAUAUUCGGAAGAACACCAGUGGCGAAGGCGACUCACUGGCCCGUUACUGAC